GAUGAACGCUGGCGGCGUGCCUAAUACAUGCAAGUCGAGCGAACAGACGAGGAGCUUGUUCCUCUGACGUUAGCGGCGGACGGGUGAGUAACACGUGGAUAACCUACCUAUAAGACUGGGAUAACUUCGGGAAACCGGAGCUAAUACCGGAUAAUAUAUUGAACCGCAUGGUUCAAUAGUGAAAGACGGUUUUGCUGUCCCUUAUAGAUGGAUCCGCGCCGCAUUAGCUAGUUGGUAAGGUAACGGCUUACCAAGGCAACGAUGCGUAGCCGACCUGAGAGGGUGAUCGGCCACACGGGAACUGAGACACGGUCAAGACUCCUACGGGAGGCAGAGGAAGGGAAUCUUCCGCAAUGGGCGAAAGCCUGACGGAGCAACGCCGCGUGAGUGAUGAAGGUCUUCGGAUCGUAAAACUCUGUUAUUAGGGAAGAACAAAUGUGUAAGUAACUAUGCACGUCUUGACGGUACCUAAUCAGAAAGCCACGGCUAACUACGUG
rnacentral:rRNA from 1 species